ACGAACGCUGGCGGCGUGCCUAAUACAUGCAAGUAGAACGCUGAAGAGAGGAGCUUGCUCUUCUUGGAUGAGUUGCGAACGGGUGAGUAACGCGUAGGUAACCUGCCUUGUAGCGGGGGAUAACUAUUGGAAACGAUAGCUAAUACCGCAUAACAAUGGAUGUCACAUGUCAUUUAUUUGAAAGGGGCAAUUGCUCCACUACAAGAUGGACCUGCGUUGUAUUAGCUAGUAGGUGAGGUAAUGGCUCACCUAGGCGACGAUACAUAGCCGACCUGAGAGGGUGAUCGGCCACACUGGGACUGAGACACGGCCCAGACUCCUACGGGAGGCAGCAGUAGGGAAUCUUCGGCAAUGGGGGCAACCCUGACCGAGCAACGCCGCGUGAGUGAAGAAGGUUUUCGGAUCGUAAAGCUCUGUUGUAAGUCAAGAACGGGUGUGAGAGUGGAAAGUUCACACUGUGACGGUAGCUUACCAGAAAGGGACGGCUAACUACGU
rnacentral:rRNA from 1 species